rnacentral:rRNA from 1 species
UACAGAGGGGGCAAGCGUUAUUCGGAAUUACUGGGCGUAAAGCGCGCGUAGGCGGACCUGCAAGUCGGGGGUGAAAGCCCGAGGCUCAACCUCGGAACUGCCUUCGAUACUGCGGGUCUCGAGUCCGGGAGAGGUGAGUGGAAUUCCUAGUGUAGAGGUGAAAUUCGUAGAUAUUAGGAAGAACACCAGUGGCGAAGGCGGCUCACUGGCCCGGUACUGACGCUGAGGCGCGAAAGCGUGGGGAGCAAACAAG